GGCGGGGUGGCGCGAGGCCAUGGUGGGGAGAGGACAUGGGCACGAGGCUGUGGAGGCUGACGGGAGAGGAGGUCGGCAGAGCAACGCCGUGGUGGGGACAAGCGGCUUGUGUGAUCGGCUGCUGUGUAGUGAGGGGGCUACCUGUACGGUGAGAAGCGACGAAGGGCAUGACGGAUGGCACCGGCGGAAAGGUGAGCGCCGGUGGAGAUAAGCGAGAAAAGGAGCAGCGCGAGGCGGUAGGCAGCCUUGAAGUGGAUGAGAGGGCCCGCUGCUAGGGGAUGGUCCUAGGGAUUUUUGAAUCAACGAGAGCAGUGUCGGCCCAGGUAUCUUCUUCCAUCUCUGGAUCCUAAACUAUAUAUCUCUCUAAUCUGCAUUGACACGCAGUAGUGCCGGGUACAAGUGUGUGGCUGCUCCAGUGCCACCACAUGCCCCAGUACCGCCCAAACGUGGAUGUAGGUGGACGUGGGCACCGUGGCCGCCACCAAGGAUGUAGGGGUCCCGCCACAAUCGGCGAGGACGCGUUAGGCGUGUCGAAAUUGUCAAAGACACAGGAGCCGUACUGCGGCCUUGGUGUUUUUCCUAAUUUCUUUAGGUAUGUGAGGUCGAUUUAAACUUCAAAUAUAUGCUGAAAUUCAGACACCGAAGAACCAGCAGUGGAGUUAGAUGAAAUUUCUUGCGAGAGCUACACCAUUCUUUUUAGUACUGACUAAUUCUCAUGAGUACCAGUGGUGAAAUUUUCAGGCCUAAAUACUGGAUGAGAUUCUCAUUGCCGGCAUUCUUCAUGAACCUAUCAAGGAGAACAUUUCAAUACUAAUUGCAGCACAUGUUUUCUCACCACCGGCUAGCAAGAAGAGAGCUAUCUGGAAUGAUUGCAUGUAUUAAUGAAGUAGUCCACGUUAGGUGGAUUGGCUCAAAAUGGAGAAGCAUGAUUGUAUUAAGCAUUUAAGCUCUAAGAAAUUUAGAAUGUCAAUGUCUUGGGGCUCCCUUGCAAUAUUUCAGAGAACUAUAUUUUUUCAGACAUUUUAUAUUGCCUCACGAUGUUUGGGGGAUCUGAUUAGGUAUUGUUUCUCUAUAUAUCUAUCCAUCUCUCUAUUUUAGUUGCUAAUAGAAUAAUGAACAAUUGAUAGGACUAAUCUUAUAGACUUGUGUUCUCCUCAAUCCGACUGUGUAUUUUCCAAGUUUUGUGC